rnacentral:rRNA from 1 species
GACGAACGCUGGCGGCGUGGAUUAGGCAUGCAAGUCGAACGGUAUCAUCCUUUCGGGGGUGAGAGAGUGGCGAACUGGUGAGUAACACGUAGGUUAUCUACCCUCAAGACGGGGACAACCCAGGGAAACUUGGGCUAAUACCGGAUGUGAGCAACUUUUAGUUGUUUGAAAGGUGGCGUAAGCUGUCGCUUGGGGAUGAGCCUGCGUCCUAUUAGUUAGUUGGUGAGGUAACGGCUCACCUAGGCAAUGAUAGGUAGGCGGCCUUAACGGGUGGUCGCCCACACUGGGAUUGAGAUACGGCCCAGACUCCUACGGGAGGCAGCAGUCGAGAAUAGUCUACAAUGGUCGGAAGACUGAUAGUGCGACGCCGCGUGAACGAUGAAUCCCUUCGGGGUGUAAAGUUCUUUUAUAUGUGAGCAGUGCUUCUUAUAUUAACAGUAUGGGGAGAGAGAUAUUAGCAUAUGAAUAAGCAACGGCUAACUCCGUGCCAGCAGCCGGGUAAUCUCG